UACGUAGGGGGGCUAGCGUUGUCCGGAAUCAUUGGGCGUAAAGCGCGCGUAGGCGGCCCGGUAAGUCCGCUGUAAAAGUCCAGGGCCCAACCCUGGAACGCCGGUGGAUACUGUCGGGCUAGAGUCCGGAAGAGGCGAGUGGAGUUCCUGGUGUAGCGGUGGAAUGCGCAGAUAUCAGGAGGAACACCGAUGGCGAAGGCAGCUCGCUGGGACGGUACUGACGCUGAGGCGCGAAAGCGUGGGGAGCGAACAGG
rnacentral:rRNA from 1 species